CAACAAGAGAGUUGUUAAUGUUUGGCAGUGUGAUCAAGAAAAAUAACAAGAAGUUGAUGAUCAACAAGAGAACGAUGAUCAUCAUCAUCAAGCAUAGGAAAAUUCAGUGUCUGAUUUGCCAAUAGACAGUAGAAGAAGAGUCUGAAAAGUUGUGUCAGUUUACGAAGUUGGGAAGUCCCGGGGAGAGUUGAACCAAAUGUAAUGCCAUAACACAUACUUUGUUUACUUCACUUUACUAUUUCCUAGUUAUAUCUUAAAUAACUCCCAAAUCUCUCUAGAUAUUUCUAUUUUUGUAUAACAAACUAAGGCUACUAACAGAUAUUAUCUGCUUUGGCCUAUUGUGUAAGCGUCUACUAAGAAGAGUUUCCAUAUCCUUAUAAAGAAUGCUCCGUUUCCCUCUCUAAUCGAUGUGGGUAUCUAACAAUCCAGCCCCCUUGAGAGCCAGCGUUCUCAUUGGCACACCACCAGAUGUUUGGCUUUGAUACCAUUUGUAACAGCUUGUAAAAGUCUAAGCUCAUUGCUAACAGAUAUUUUGUUUCCUAGCAAUACGUAACGAGCUAAAACGAAUAAUAUUUACUAGCAAAACUGUAAAACUAGACAAAACAACAGUGACGAACAGAGACCUUGCCCAAUUCAUAUGUCAAAUU